UAAAAGGUCUGAGUGGACUACGGUGCACAGUGGGUGUUCAUAUGUAUCUCUUCCUCGUGGCACGACUUUUGUGUGGCUCCCUCAAGCUUGUGACACGCUGCCUACACCAGAGCUGAGUGUGUGGACAGUAGUUUCAGCAAGCGAAUAUCAUGCGGCCUGUGCCAAGAGGUACCACGUUAGGUCUGUGUCACCUUUGCCGAGAAGGCCGAACAUUGGAUCCCAUAUAGAGUGGGCCUUAUUUUGGUCGCUGUUGGAUUGAUUUGGGAAAGAUGCUGUGAUCCCCCGCUUUGCCACUGGUAUUUCACGCGUGACUACAAACUUGAUUCUGAGGCUGAACAUUGCGAUGUAGGCAAGCAGGUACAUUGUAUAUUAAUCAAGACUGAUUAAAUUAUUGGGUUUAAUAUCCCCAAAAUUUGCAAAUAAUGAGAUAUGCUAUAAUUGGUGGUAUUUUUGGCUCAAGUGAAGGUACUUUUGGUUUCUAUAAUGUUUUCACAAAGUAUUGUGCACAUGUGUUUUCCUUUUUUAUUUCCAAGCUGUUAUUUUCGAAAGAUAAUCACCAUGGCUGGGAUCAAAUGCUAUUUACAGUUUAAUUAUUUGUAGGUCUCAAGGUGUAGGUUUUAGAUAGUUUUUAGGCCCUAUCAACCUUCUGCUUUUGUCAUAAGCUAAAAUUUGGUUCCUUUCAGCUCUUAAUGGCAACAAAUUUCGUUCAUGUUUAUUCAGGCAUUGCCUAAUAGGGAAAUUUAGAAUUUCACAUUAUCUUAAUACGAAAAGUUGUGUUGACCCCAAGCCUAAGGCUUCUUUACUUAUUACUCUCUAAGGAGAUAAUUCUCUUUCAAUGAAGUGCCAGUUCAAGGUAUGACACCGACAUCCCAUCAGAAUACUUGUGCACAUGCUAAAGUUCUCAUUCGAUGACAGUGUUUGAAGUAACAAACACGUGUGGUGAAUGUGCUACUAUAUUUCAGGUCUCGAGGAAAUGCUACAGGUGCAGCUAGUGAAGAAGCACCGACUGUGACCUAAUGACCUUAGCCUGUUCCACAGGACGCUCGUAGAUUGGUACAUCUUGCGUGCUUUCUUCAAAGACUGAUGUGUGCUUGCGGUAAUCAGCACCUGUAACCAGCUGUCAACGUAGUGACGUUCCAUAUUCACCUCUUGGAAUCUCCAAUUGGGAAAAGUAGGUGGAGAGAAGAGGAUGGACAAAAACUGGGCAGUGAUUAAACGACAGACUGAAGCAGCAUUGCAACAAUGUUAGGAAUGGCAGAAAGGGUCACCUGGCAAUACACUGCAGAGAUUGCAAGCGGGUACCCGGAUUUUUCUGCAUGUUGCAUGAUUGCCCAUAGUCAGGACAACUGAAAUAGAUUAAUAAUUGAGGCAAGAAAAGAUUAUCAAAGCCGGUGAUCGUUGCACAAGUGUGUCGUUCAUAUCUUUAUCUCGGAAAGAAUUUUGUUAUCUGAAUGAAACUGCACAUCAAUGAAACGUGACAACUUUGUCUGCAGAAACAGCACCCCUUUCUGUGGGAAUAAACAUUGUUGGAAGUGGC